rnacentral:rRNA from 1 species
GACGAACGCUGGCGGCGUGCUUAACACAUGCAAGUCGAACGGAAAGGCCUUUUCGGCGGUACUCGAGUGGCGAACGGGUGAGUAACACGUGGGUGAUCUGCCCUGCACUCUGGGAUAAGCCUGGGAAACUGGGUCUAAUACCGGAUAGGACCGCACUUUAGUGUGUGUGGUGGAAAGUUUUUUCGGUGUAGGAUGAGCCCGCGGCCUAUCAGCUUGUUGGUGGGGUAAUGGCCUACCAAGGCGGCGACGGGUAGCCGGACUGGGAGGUUGGGCGGCCACAUUGGGACUGGGACACGGCCCCGACUCCUACGGGAGGGAGCAGUGGGGAAUAUUGCACAAUGGGCGCGAGCCUGAUGCAGCGACGCCGCGUGGGGGAGGACGGCCUUCGGGUUGUAAACUCCUUUCGCCAGGGACGAAGCGUUUUGUGACGGUACCUGGAGAAGAAGCACCGGCUAACUACGUG